GGCGCUAUAGCCAAGUGGUUACGGCGACAGAUUAGAAUCGAUAUCGUGGGGAAGCUUUCAAUCUGUUCCUCUUUGAGGGCGCAGGUUCAAAUCCUGCUGGCGUCG